rnacentral:rRNA from 1 species
GACGAACCGUGCGAACGUUGUUCGGAUUCACUGGGCUUAAAGGGCGCGUAGGCGGGCGGUCAAGUCGGGGGUGAAAUCUUUCAGCUUAACUGGAAAAGUGCCUCCGAUACUGAUCGCCUCGAGGGAGGUAGGGGCAUGUGGAACUUCCGGUGGAGCGGUGAAAUGCGUAGAUAUCGGAAAGAACACCAACGGCGAAAGCACUCUGCUGGGCCGACACUGACACUGAGAGACGAAAGCUAGGGGAGCGAAUGGG